rnacentral:rRNA from 1 species
AGUGAACGCUGGCGGUAGGCCUAACACAUGCAAGUCGAACGGCAGCACAGUAAGAGCUUGCUCUUACGGGUGGCGAGUGGCGGACGGGUGAGGAAUACAUCGGAAUCUACUUUUUCGUGGGGGAUAACGUAGGGAAACUUACGCUAAUACCGCAUACGACCUACGGGUGAAAGCAGGGGAUCUUCGGACCUUGCGCGAUUGAAUGAGCCGAUGUCGGAUUAGCUAGUUGGCGGGGUAAAGGCCCACCAAGGCGACGAUCCGUAGCUGGUCUGAGAGGAUGAUCAGCCACACUGGAACUGAGACACGGUCCAGACUCCUACGGGAGGCAGCAGUGGGGAAUAUUGGACAAUGGGCGCAAGCCUGACCCAGCAAUACCGCGUGGGUGAAGAAGGCCUUCGGGUUGUAAAGCCCUUUUGUUGGGAAAGAAAAGCAGCAGGUUAAUACCCCGCUGUUCUGACGGUACCCAAAGAAUAAGCACCGGCUAACUUCGCG